UUCCUGAUAGUCAUUCAGUUUUGAAGUG
rnacentral:sRNA from 1 species